rnacentral:rRNA from 1 species
GAUGAACGCUGGCGGCGUGCCUAAUACAUGCAAGUCGAGCGAACAGACGAGGAGCUUGCUCCUCUGACGUUAGCGGCGGACGGGUGAGUAACACGUGGAUAACCUACCUAUAAGACUGGGAUAACUUCGGGAAACCGGAGCUAAUACCGGAUAAUAUAUUGAACCGCAUGGUUCAAUAGUGAAAGACGGUUUUGCUGUCACUUAUAGAUGGAUCCGCGCCGCAUUAGCUAGUUGGUAAGGUAACGGCUUACCAAGGCAACGAUGCGUAGCCGACCUGAGAGGGGGAUCGGCCACACUGGAACUGAGACACGGUCCAGACUCCUACGGGAGGCAGCAGUAGGGAAUCUUCCGCAAUGGGCGAAAGCCUGACGGAGCAACGCCGCGUGAGUGAUGAAGGUCUGCGGAUCGUAAAACUCUGUUAUUAGGGAAGAACAAAUGUGUAAGUAACGAUGCACGUCUUGACGGUACCUAAUCAGAAAGCCACGGCUAACUACGU